UGAAAUUCUACCCAUCGGGUUAUAGAACUCACUCUUAGCUGUAGGAGUACUGCGUUAUGAGUAGUUGACAACAACCAAUUUUGCUUAACUACUUGUGAGACAUAGUUCAUUCCCAUCAUCUCAUUUAAGCGUUAACAUUUUCACAUCAGAGAGGAUCAAACAGUGGCUAGUUAGCGUCUGACUGAGGGAGACUUUGACCCCUGCUCAACCAGUUCUGACCCUGUGCUUUUCCUUCGGCCACUGUGACCCCUCUGAAACAUGGAUUUGAAUUCAUCAAUCCAUUAGUAAUGUCAUCAGUGGGCUGUCCACAUUAGCUGCUGUGUGUGGGGCCUGGGUAUUGCCGGGCUCCAGUAGGUCCUGGUGACCUUGAGUCCCAGGUCAUACACAAGGUGCUUCUUUGACGAGCUAGCACGUUUGGCUGUGUGUUCUCUGCAACAGCAUUUUCCAAACUGGCUCAGUUUCAAAGAUCAAUUUUUAGUUAAUGGUUGGUGUCAGUACAUUAGCUGCAUUCAUAGUUCUUAAGAAUCCAGCUUGUCUUUAUCCAGAAAUUAUCUCUAAUGUUGAGUCACCAAGGACGAACUUCUGGACAUUUUCAGAGGCGCCUGUUUAUCUGUUUUCUCUGUUUGCUCUGUUUAAAGGAGCUACAGGGUGGACUUUCUCAGAGCUAGCCGAGCUAUAACAGCUGUUGCCCAAUGGACAUGAUCAGCUCAUGGCUUUCUGAUGGCAAAGGUGCAAGUAAAUCACACUUCAACCAACCAACCAACCAACCAACCAACCAACCAACCAACCAGCCAACCAACCAACCAGCCAACCUUAUGUACUCGACAAUAGCAUAACUACUUUUGAGCUAAAUGUUUGGUAAGCAUAUUUUUCAUCCCAUUGAUCUCUUAUAACACUGAAAACCUUCUAAAGUGGGUUUAUUUGAGGUUUUAGCUGAGGCUAUCAUUUUGAGUAUGAUUUUUCAGUCAUUUCAGUGAUAAAAAUAAUUAAGCAAAUUGAACUAAUAUUUGGUAAGUUUCUGGGCUUGUAGUAGGUCAUUACUCCUCUUUAUAACCUCAGGAGGUUGGUUUUCUUCCAGGUUCUAUUUGCUUCAAGGAGGAAGCUGAAAUUCAG
rnacentral:lncRNA from 1 species